rnacentral:misc_RNA from 1 species
GAAAUGCGAUACGUAAUGUGAAUUGCAGAUUCCGUGAAUCAUCAAAUUUUUGAACGCAAGUUGCGCUUAUGGGAAACUAUAAGCAUGCUUGUUUCAGUGACGUUUAAAAAAAUAUCAAAACAAUAAAUGUUUUGGAAUUGAGGAUGUUACAACUGUAACUAACUCAAAUAUUAGCAUGUAAAGUACAUUUUUAUUAAAGGUAUUGCUAUCCAUAUCAAAGAUAUCGGACGGUAAUUAUUUUUAUUGUACUUUUUUUUACAUGUGCAAGAAAGUGAUUUUAUCACAUAAGAUAAUACUACCAAAAUUACGUCCUGAGAUCAAGUAAGAUUACCCGCUGAAUUUAA